rnacentral:snRNA from 7 species
AUACUUACCUGGACAGGAUCGAUGGGUGUUCAAGAAGACCCAUGGUCUAGAUUAGUGGUCCACAUUGCACUUGGUGGAUGCGCUGAUCUACCAUCUCCCCAACUGGGAGAGUGGAUGUCAUAAUUUGUGAUUGAGGGGGUACGCGUCCGCGCGGCCCCUGC